UACGAAGGGAGCUAGCGUUGUUCGGAAUCACUGGGCGUAAAGCGCACGUAGGCGGAUGUGUCAGUCAGGGGUGAAAUCCCGGAGCUCAACUUCGGAACUGCCUUUGAUACAGCACGUCUUGAGUCCGAUAGAGGUGGGUGGAACUGCGAGUGUAGAGGUGAAAUUCGUAGAUAUUCGCAAGAACACCCAGUGGCGAAGGCGGCUCACUGGCCCGGUACUGACGCUGAGGUGCGAAAGCGUGGGGAGCAAACAGGG
rnacentral:rRNA from 1 species